AGAGUUUGAUCAUGGCUCAGGAUGAACGCUGGCGGCGUGCUUAACACAUGCAAGUCGAACGAUGAAAGCGGGAGCUUGCUCCUGCUGGAUUAGUGGCGAACGGGUGAGUAACACGUGAGUAACCUGCCCUUGACUCUGGGAUAAGCGUUGGAAACGACGUCUAAUACCGGAUACGACCUUCGGAGGCAUCUCCUGGGGGUGGAAAGAAUUUCGGUCAAGGAUGGACUCGCGGCCUAUCAGCUAGUUGGUGAGGUAAUGGGCUCACCAAGGCGACGACGGGUAGCCGGCCUGAGAGGGUGACCGGCCACACUGGGACUGAGACACGGCCCAGACUCCUACGGGAGGCAGCAGUGGGGAAUAUUGCACAAUGGGCGCAAGCCUGAUGCAGCAACGCCGCGUGAGGGACGACGGCCUUCGGGUUGUAAACCUCUUUUAGUAGGGAAGAAGCGAAAGUGACGGUACCUGCAGAAAAGCACCGGCUAACUACGUG
rnacentral:rRNA from 1 species